AGAGUGAACGCUGGCGGCAGGCCUAACACAUGCAAGUCGAACGGCAGCACAGUAAGAGCUUGCUCUUAUGGGUGGCGAGUGGCGGACGGGUGAGGAAUACAUCGGAAUCUGCCUAUUUGUGGGGGGAUAACGUAGGGAAACUUACGCUAAUACCGCAUACGACCUACGGGUGAAAGCGGAGGACCUUCGGGCUUCGCGCAGAUAGAUGAGCCGAUGUCGGAUUAGCUAGUUGGUGGGUAAAGGCCCACCAAGGCGACGAUCCGUAGCUGGUCUGAGAGGAUGAUCAGCCACACUGGAACUGAGACACGGUCCAGACUCCUACGGGAGGCAGCAGUGGGAAUAUUGGACAAGUGGGCGCAAGCUGAUCCAGCCAUGCCGCGUGAGUGAAGAAGGCCCUUGGUUAGUAAAGCUCGUUUUUAGGUUAGGGAAAGAAAAGACUAAAGUACGGUUUAAAGUACCCGGUUU
rnacentral:rRNA from 1 species